rnacentral:rRNA from 1 species
AUGAGACUCACAAGAGAGAUGUUAGAUUACGUCUCACACGAAACACAUGAUGGCCUAUGCAGCUUUCCCAAGCUUCAGGAGGUCUUGAAGGGUCAUUUUAAAUCAAAGCGGGUUCUACUUAUUUUAGAUGAUGUAUGGGAAGCCAUGGAUGACGGCCGAUGGAAAAAAUUGUUGGCUCCUUUCAAUUCUAAUGGUGCAGCCGGCAAUAUGAUAAUUCUGACAACUAGAAAACCGUCUAUUGCCAAAAGGAGAGGUACAACUGGACCAAUUAACUUACAUGGUUUGGACAAUGAUGAUUUCUGGCUAUUGUUUAAAGCAUGUGCAUUUGGUGAUGAGAAUUACAAAGAGCAAGCAAGUCUAAGUGACUUAGGACAUGAAAUAGCAAAAAAGUUAAAAGGGAACCCAUUAGCAGCACAAACCGCUGGGGCACUAUUAAAAGAUCAUCUUACUGUGGAUCACUGGAGUAACAUUCUGAAGACCGAAGGUUGGAAAUCCUUGCAACACACUGGUGGCAUCAUGUCUUCUUUGAAGCUUUCCUAUGAUGAGCUGCCCUACCUUAUGCAGCAAUGUUGCUCAUAUUGUUCCAUAUUCCCCUAUGGUUAUGAAUUUCAUGCCGAGGAGCUAGUUCAUCUUUGGAUUUCGCAGGGGUUUGUGAAGAGUGAUCAUUCAAGUAAUAGUUUGGAGGAGAUGGGACGGUAUUAUCUGAUUUACUUGGUGAACCUGGGCUUGUUUGAGGAGGUUGAAGGUCGAACUUGCUAUGUUAUGUGUAGCCUGAUCUAUGAUUUUGCAAGGCUAGUUUCAAGAACGGAGUGUGCAGCCUUGGAUGGUUUGCAGUGCAGUGGAAUUUUGCCAACUAUACACCAUUUGUCUAUAGUAACCAAUUCUGUAUAUCAGAGGGACCACCAGACUGGAAACAUACCUCGUAAUGAGAGGUUUGAAUUUCGCUUGCAAAAUAUAGUUGCAUCAGUGAGAAAACUGAGAACAUUGGUCUUAAUUGGGGAAUAUGACUCCUUUUUCUUCAAAGCAUUCCAAGAUGUAUUUGAAAAAGCACAUAAUCUGCGUUUGCUACAAAUGUCUGCAACAUCUGCUUGUUUUAAUUCCUUUCUGUGUAGCUUGGCAAAUCCCACACAUCUUCGGUAUCUAAAAAUUCAGGAUGGCCAUACUGAGCAGAAGGCUUCGCCCCACAUUUUGAGCAAGGUUUUUCAUCUUCAAGUAUUGGAUGUUACUUUCUUUAAGCCAUUGCAUACGGUUCUUCUAGAGGAUUGCGGAGAAUUGAGAAUAUCUUUGGAAAUGCUUCGGUUUCUUAAAAGGUUGAAGUUGAGCAACAUGCAGAGAGUAAGCGAAGUAUCGAUUCCGUCAUUGGAGGAGCUAGUUUUAGAUGGAAUGCCAGAUUUACAGACAUGUUCCUGCACUUCCGUGGGGGAUAUGAAGUCUAGUUUAAGGGUGCUGGAGAUCCGGAGAUGCCCUUUACUUGAGGUGUUCGAUCUGUUUCAGAAAGGUGGUAACUAUGGAAUUGAGCAUAAGUCGUGGUUGCCCAGUCUGAGGAAACUCAUUGUGUGCGAUUGUCCUCGUCUACAAGUACAUACCGCCCUUCCGCCUUCAGCAACAUUUUCUGAACUAUCAAUUAAUGAGGUUUCAACAAUUAUGGCAAUGGAGGGAUCUUCCAUGGAAAAAUUAAAAAUUAGCGGAGAUAAACUUUUGUGUGAUACACUCGAUGACAAAAUUUUGGCAUUCCAUAAUCUUAAAGAUAUCAAAUACUUGGAGAUAUUGAAUUGCAAAAGCCUAACAUCCAUUUCAUUCAAAGGCUUAAGUCAGCUCAUCUCCUUAAAGAGUUUUAAAAUAGUGCACUGCAAAGAACUUUUCUCUUUGGAUGAUGUACUAGAGCAGACCCAUGACAACAUGAUAAUUGCAAAUGAAGAUGUUCUCACAGCUCUUGAAAGUCUUGAUAUUAUCAGAUGUGGAAUAACGGGAAAGUGGCUAUCUUUGAUGCUGCGACAUUCACCGACCCUGAAGGAAUUGUAUUUAUAUGACUGCCCGCAGUUGAAACAGUUGAAGAUAGAAGAGGAAGGAAAUGUUCAACCAAACCUUCUCCCAGCUUUCGAGGCUUCGUCAUCCGGGUAUGCUGAUGGAGUCGUGCACAUUCCAUUGAAUCUCAGAAAGAUAAAAAUUGGUAGAUGCCCUCAUAUAAUAUUUGACGGGAGUAGGGAAGGAUUUACCUCCUCCUCACAGGUAGAGAACAGAAGAUGUCUCCUCCCGCAAUCACUUGAACAUCUUGAUUGGUCUGAUUAUUCCCGAGAAACUCUACUGCCCUGUUUUGUGGGUAAUCUCAUGUGGCUAAAAAAAUUAAAUGUAAGGAAUGGAAGAAGUUUGCAAUAUCUAAAACUUGAUUCCUGUAAGGCGUUGGAAGAAUUGGAAAUUCGCGAUUGCAAUCAGCUCGUCACAUUAGAGGGCAUGCGAUCGCUUGGAACCCUCAUGUCUCUGAAAUUAUCUUAUAACUCAAGAUUGAAAUCUCUGCAGCUGCAUUCCUGCAUGUCGCUGGAACGUUUGGAAAUUUGGUUCUGCAGUUCGCUCGUCACACUAGAGGGCUUGCGAUCCCUCGUGAAGCUUAAGCAUUUGUUAAUACUCAAGUCCUCUGCCUUGGGCUUGGGAUCCCUCGUGAACCUCAAGCAUUUGGAAAUACUUGAUUCCCCUGCCUUGGAUUCCCUUACCGCACUGGAGAGUACCGAGCCAGCUGGGGGGAUUUCAAGUCAUAGCCAUGAGUUAUUCCCUGCACUGGAAAGUCUCGCAAUCGAUGACUUGUCUCCCCUUAACAUGUCAUUCUGCAAGGGCCUCACCUGCCUCCGAAGCCUAAGGCUUGUUUAUUCGGAUGCAAGGAGACUAACAGAUGAGCAAGAGAGAGCGCUUCUGCUCCUCAGCUCCCUGCAAAAGCUCGGCUUUUAUGCUUGUAAGGGUCUCGUACAUCUUCCCGCAGGGCUGGGAGGCCUCCCUUCUAUGAAGAAGUUGGAGAUCAGGUGGUGUAAACAAAUCUCAGGGCUUCCCAAUGCGGGCCUCCCACCUUCGCUCGAAAAACUGGUGAUCCGUUAUUGCAGCGUCGAGUUAUCAGAACAAUGUAGAUCGCUAGCAACAAGCAAGCUGGAGGUCAAAAUUGAUGGGGACUAUGUGAACUGA